rnacentral:rRNA from 1 species
CCUACGGGAGGCAGCAGUGGGGGAUAUUGCACAAUGGGGGGAACCCUGAUGCAGCGACGCCGCGUGUGGGAAGACGGUCCUCUGGAUUGUAAACCACUGUCCCCAGGGACGAAAAUGACGGUACCUGGGGAGGAAGCGCCGGCUAACUACGUGCCAGCAGCCGCGGUAAUACGUAGGGAGCGAGGGUUGUCCGGAAUUACUGGAUGUAAAGGGAGCGUAGGCGGGGAUGCAAGGUGGGUGUCAAAACUACCGGCUCAACUGGUAGUCGCACUCAAAACUGCAGCGCUGGAGUGAAGUAGAGGCAGGCGGAAUUCCCAGUGUAGCGGUGAAAUGCGUAGAUAUUAGGAGGAACCCCAGUGGCGAAGGCGGCCUGCUGGGCUUUUACUGACGCUGAGGCUCGAAAGGGUGGGGAGCAAACAGGAUUAGAUACCCCUGUAGUC